AAUUGUAGUUGCGUAUGAUCCAUUAGCUUCAGUUGUGGCUAUACAUGUUGUUAAGAGUCAUUUUGUUAUUUUUAUUACUAUAUGGUUUACUGGAGUGGAAUUUUAAGUGGUUUUCAUUGAUCAAAAUUUUAAUAAACAACAGAGAGUCUUAGUAAUUAAUUUUUGCUGUUAAAGAUUUUGUAUAACAUAAAUGUUUGCUGAACAAUGCAUGUGGUUUAAGGAUGUGAUACAAAGUGCUACUCUGUUUUUGUCUUUUCUUUUUUUCUUUUUCCCUUUAAAUUAAAGAAAGUACAUGGUUGUUGAAGUUGGGGAGAGUUUUAAUUUUGUUGUUUAUUUUAUAUGGAAGAAAGGCCUUUCUGGUUAUAUUUUUCUUCUAAUCUCAGUUGUGUAUAAAUUUUCUGCAAAGUAGAAUGAAUAUUAUGUCAUGCUAAUAUAUUAUUCAUUUUAUUGUGUUGUCCAUGUCAGAAAGCUUUUUGUGUGUUCUCUAAUAAGUAAUGUUUCAUUAUAGUUGGCUUAUUGACUCAAGUAUUUAUGAGUAAUGAAUCUUCCCAAACCCACCUAUGAUAGACAUUUUGUAAUUUGGUAUCUUCUAGCAUUAGUGGGAGCAUUCAGGAAUUUGUGAUCAUGGUUCUUGAGGUAUACAAUUAUCCAUGUUAUCUUUUUGCCUUUCCUAACUUAGGAAUUGUUUGGUUGUCUUUUUUAAUUACUUUUUGUCUAUUUAAGCAAAAAAAAUUAGAUCAUUUUGCUUGUUUGCAGUUCCUUUUGUACUCUAUUCAACCAGACAAGUUUUAUUAAUUGCUCCUGCACAAAUUAAGAGGUACUUCUAUAUUCUUCUAAUUGCAUGAACCAAUUGAUUUGAUUUGGUGGGUCCACUUUGAAUUUGAGCAUUGUUUAUUUAUUUGCAUUUUCCUAUUUGAUCCCAUUAUUGAUGGUAGAGAACUACAGAUCUCAUUUGACAAUUUUCCAUAUUAUUUAUGGUAGAAGCCUUCCGCACAACUGUAAUCUUUCCUGUAUAGUCAUUUUAUGUACUUAUUCUAUGUUCUAACAUCCACUGCAGAUCUCUUAUCAUAAUUCAGCUUUUGAGUAUGUUAGCUUAUUCCACAGUACUUUUGAACUUGAUAACUAGUUCUUAUAUAAGAUGUUGACUAGUUCCCUUCUUCUGCAAGAUAGUUACUUGGUUGGAUGCAUCGCAAGUUCCGGGCCAAUGAACCACUGAAGGAUUUUAGCAUAGGGAAUUCUUGUACUUGUCUUUCAGGGCAGCCAUCACUGGAUGACCAACAGUACUACCCAAAGUUAGUACUGGGAGAAACAGUCAUGUUAGUACUGGAAGAAACAUUUAUGUUAGCAUUGGAAGAAGCUGCCAUGGUAGCACCAUUACACUUAGAGGAAAGCCAUUGGAAGGCACAGAGACCAGUGGGAAUGGAACAACAAUCUGUCCACUCCAGAGCUAUCUGUUUGGAUCAGCAAUUGAGUUGCCGGAAACAACCACAGUGGUAAAGAAGGAACAUAGAACAUCGCUUGGGGAGCUGUUUCAGAGGACAAAAAUAGCAGAGGAAAAUUAUGUAGCCAAAAGCGAGAGGGGAGAAAAACGGAUAGAAAAGGAGACAGAUAAAUCAGCCAUACACCUUAUGAAAAAGAUGCUGAAGAAAAGAAUGGUUCAUGGUUCUUCUCGGAGCUCCACCACAUCGACUGGGGGAAAUGUUGACUCUGCUUCAUCUGAGACAAAACUGCAUAAGAUUUAUCAUGAUAUGACAGCUCAUUUAUCUCAUUAUUUUGUAUAAACGGGCCAUAAUUUGUAUCCAACGGGAAAUCAACUAAGGAGUGACUGCAGUGAUGUCCCGAUCAUACAAGCAUUGCAGAGAGGUGUUAAUUUGAACUGGAUAUCUGGGCGAAUUCCACAAAAGAUAAUGUCAAUGUUCUUCAUGGAAGGAAACUCUGGCCAACCUCCCAAGCGUUUAGAAGUUUCUAGGAGCUCAAAUGGAGAAGAUGAUGAAGAAUGGUCGCUGAUAUCUGAAAUGCACUCAAGGUUAGAAAUUUCUUA